UGAGUGGCGGACGGGUGAGUAACGCGUGGGCAACCUGCCCUGUACAGGGGGACAACACUUAGAAAUAGGUGCUAAUACCGCAUAACGGGGGGAGCCGCAUGGCACCCCCCUGAAAACUCCGGUGGUACAGGAUGGGCCCGCGUCUGAUUAGCUGGUUGGCAGGGUAACGGCCUACCAAGGCGACGAUCAGUAGCCGGCCUGAGAGGGCGGACGGCCACACUGGGACUGAGACACGGCCCAGACUCCUACGGAAGGCAGCAG
rnacentral:rRNA from 1 species